GUUCAAAUUUAAAUAUCUUGUUAUUUAGAAAUAUAUUUAGGAAUAGGCAGUUAUCUUGUUUGGGAAUAGAUUUAUUAGGUAUGAUUAGGAGUAUUUUAAGGAUUUGGACUCUAUAUAAUAUAACCCGGAGUUACAAGAAAUAAAAAGUAAUAUUGUCUCUUUUCCCUCAUAUUUUGUCUUUUCUUUCUACCUCUUCUCUCUACUUCUCAAUUCUUUAGGAGGUUCGA
rnacentral:lncRNA from 1 species